CCGCGGUCCAUUAUUACUUUUGGUACGCGCUGUGCCACUUCAAACUCGUACCGUGAGUAAUAAUGCGCUGAGG
rnacentral:pre_miRNA from 11 species